UAUUUCUUUGGGCUGCUUCCGCGGCAUAUGGAGGUUCCCAGGCUAGGGGUCGAAUCGGAGCUGUAGCCACUGGCCUACGCCAGAGCCACAGCAAUGCAGGAUCUGAGCCGCGUCUGCAACGUACACCACAGCUCACAGCAACGCCGGAUCGUUAACCCACUGAGCAAGGGCAGGGACCGAACCCGCAACCUCAUGGUUCCUAGUCGGAUUCGUUAACCACUGCUCCACGAUGGGAACUCCCAGUGGGGAAGUUUAGAAAGGAGAAUUGGCCAACACAGGCUACAACUUGUAUUUAAAUGAUCCAUUUAAAAUACACUGAUUGUUUUGUGACUACAUGGCCCGUCAGAGUCCCAAAGUUCUACAUCAUAGAACCUGGAAAACUUUUAUAGCGGGUGUUACCAAAACCCACCCACUGUGACGAUUAAAAAAAAGCAAUAAAAUUAGGCUCUUGGCGCCUAAUUUUAAGUAAUGUUGCUUCCUGGUCAGGCCUGUGAGACAAAGAAAUUACAAUAUGGAACCUUAGGUUAUAUAAAGAGAUGACCUUUUAAAAAUACCACCCACUUGGCUCUUUUCUGAUUCCGGCACAUUGGUCUGUGGAGGGGGUCAGUGGCCUUGGAAUUGAUGUUUUUAAGGCUGCCCAGGUGAUCCCAAGGUGCGUGUGGCUUUGGCAGUCACUGUAUCAAAUGAAGUCUAUCCAAAAUGGUCGGGGUACUGAAGCAGGGCGCUUGCGUCUUUCACACAAAAACAAAACACCCAUCUACCCUCAAAUUUCAGAUCUCCCCGCCACUUCAUUUUUAGCCCGAACAUGUGUACACUUUAAAACUUCGCUCAAAUAAUAUGAUCAAUGAAGGCAAAUCUAAAAAUCACAAAAAUGUCGAAAAGUUUGCUCUGCCUCCAUACACGGCCAAGCGCUAUUGACAUUUGUGAUGAAUGUCCUUCCACCGACUCCAAUACAAAUAAUUUUGUGCGCGGGAACACGCCCUAAUGAGGAUAUUCCCAAAGGUGGCAGUAAAACCCCUUCUGCAGUGAAGAGACGGCUCCUUCCCCUCUGUUAUAACUGGGGAGCAGGCCCUCAUCUUCGGGGGGAUCCAAUCAUGGUGCUCUAGCUCAGAAUUACCGUUUAAUCAGGUAAGACCCUGCCGUGACUCGAGUUGGUGGAAAGCAGCAGGAGUCUGUCCAAGAAAGAGUUUGAGUCCUUCGAGCUCACCUCACAGCUUAUUUCCGUCUCACUGGCUGAGUGAACACAUCUUUGUGUUACCUUGGAAGCCCCAGUUCUAGUGCAGCUCUCAUGAGAACCCUCACCUAAGUCAGAUUCCUCACUGAGGCAAUUCUUUUUUCCCCCAGACUCAUGUCUUGGCUUUAUUCUCCAUGUUCCUCUCUUCACAUCUUUCUUGGGACUCUUUGUCCCCAGGAGGAACUCAGCGGGAGGAAUCCCUCCAAAAGAAGAAGUAACACAGCUCCUCGACUUGCAGAAGCCUUGGCUCCGCCCAGGCUCGGCCGUCUAGUGUCUCCCCGUAGCAGUGCACUAAUCCUGUAAGUGCCUCGGAAUUAACAUCAUGGCUAAAAGAACCCGAAGACCCAUGAAGGCGAGCACUGACGUUUACAUCUUGCUUCGACUCCGAUCUGAACUGGAAUCGCGGUCCUUUGAAUCAGACGAUUCACAAUAACCAAGAAGUGGAAGCAGACUAGAUGUCCUCCGAUGGGUGAAUGCAUAAAAGAAACGCGUCACGUAAAAUGAAAUACCACUCAGUCUUUAAAAACAAGGACAUCCUGUCAUGAGGUACAAUAUGAGCUUUGAAGAUAUUAUGCUAAUGAAAUAAGCCAGCUACUAAAAGACAAAUGCUGCAUGAUUCUACUUAUGUGAGACCUAUGAUGCGGUCAAAGCCACAGAGACAGAAAGUAAGACGGAGGUUGCCAGGGGCUGGGGGAGAUGAGAAUGGGGAGUUACCGUUUGGUGGGCACAGGAUUUCAGUUUGGGAAGAUGAAAAAUUUCUGGAGAUGGGUGGGUGAUUGAUGGCUGCACAACAAUGUGAAUAUACCUAAUGCCACAGAACGGCAUGCUUAAAAAUGGUC